GGUUAAGCGACUAAGCGUACACGGUGGAUGCCCUGGCAGUCAGAGGCGAUGAAGGGCGUGCUAAUCUGCGAUAAGCGCCGGUAAGGUGAUAUGAACCGUUAUAACCGGCGAUACCCGAAUGGGGAAACCCAGUGUGACUCGUCACACUAUCAUUAACUGAAUCCAUAGGUUAAUGAGGCGAACCGGGGGAACUGAAACAUCUAAGUACCCCGAGGAAAAGAAAUCAACCGAGAUUCCCCCAGUAGCGGCGAGCGAACGGGGAGGAGCCCAGAGCCUGAAUCAGCAUGUGUGUUAGUGGAAGCGUCUGGAAAGGCGCGCGAUACAGGGUGACAGCCCCGUACACAAAAGCGCAUGUGCUGUGAGCUCGAUGAGUAGGGCGGGACACGUGGUAUCCUGUCUGAAUAUGGGGGGACCAUCCUCCAAGGCUAAAUACUCCUGACUGACCGAUAGUGAACCAGUACCGUGAGGGAAAGGCGAAAAGAACCCCGGCGAGGGGAGUGAAAAAGAACCUGAAACCGUGUACGUACAAGCAGUGGGAGCACCCUUUUGGGUGUGACUGCGUACCUUUUGUAUAAUGGGUCAGCGACUUAUAUUCUGUAGCAAGGUUAACCGAAUAGGGGAGCCG
rnacentral:rRNA from 1 species